GUCAACAAUGAAACCAUGACAAUUGCCACUCAGAAUGUCUCAAAACCCCGGUGUCCAUCUCCUAAAAGCAACCUGAAAUCUGCCCAUCCUGCCAAGCGGAGGAAUGACUUUGGCUACAAUGUCGAUGAUGGCAAUAUUUAUGGAAACAUGUAGCUGCCGGAGCAACGGAGGAGGGCCCCAAACUAAUGAUAUUAUGAUACUUCU